UAUCACAGCUCAAAAGGCCACGACUUGUGUCAACAGUCAAGUUUUGGGCAGGCCUAAUAAGAGAGCUGUGCCAGCAUACGUAGUGGUGUCAACUGUAUUACCAUUCAUCCACGACUCAAGAAGCAUUUUGAACAGUGCCCUCCUUGAGCAGCAACUCGGCUUGAUGAUGAGAAACAUCUUGUUCUACCUGGGAUUGGUGACUGUGGUUGUCAGCUGUGCCACAGCACAAUCAACUACCACCGCUGGCCCUACCACUGCCAGUUCCACGCCUGCAGGUGGGACCACAGCAGCAAACACUGGGCCCACCAGUGGUGAUGCUACCACCGGUGCUACAGUGACACCCAAUCCAACCAUGGCCAUGACAACUGCUAGUGGAGCUACCAUCAUGCCCUUCAUGCUGCUGGUGACUGCCAUGGCUGGGGUAGCUCUGCUGGCAUGAAACUGAUACAUUUGGACCUGGCAACGGACUGGCCCAAGCACGUUUACUGCUUGACUUGUAGUAAUACUCCUACUACAUGUACCAGUAAAAGUGUAGAGUUAAGAGAGGGGUGUAAGACCAGAAUCAACAAGAAUGUACAUUUCACACUAUUACUGUAAAAAUGUCUCAAGAAAAUAACUUGGUAAUUGUACAUUUUAUACAAUCAUUGUUAAAUUUUCUGCACAACCCCUUUCCUCCAGAUUGACAUUGACAGGUGGAUUGUUGAGUGCCAACAAGACAUGUAUCAACAAGAAGACUUUCCUGUUCUGACCUCAGUUGUUACAGAGUAAUCUGCACAUGAAUUCAUAUUGCACAACUUCGUUGUAUAUCAACUUUGCAUGGCUUGAUGACACUAUGCAGCUACAUUUAUAUGUACUAGUCAUAUCAUUUCAAAUGACACUGAAAGCUUUUUGGAGAGACAUUGUGAAAGGGACGUAUGAUGUUGGUCUCAAGGAGGAAUGGAACAAAUAAUAUCAUAAUAUCCUAACUUAAAUUUCCAACAAAUCUAAAGUUUGAGCCUAAAUAAUAGAUCAAGCAAUGACUGCAGUCAUUGUCAGCCAAAUAUGGACUUCUAAUUAUAAAUAUGUAACAGAUUAGUUAAAUGGCCAUUCUAAGAGCCACAGAGAGUCCUUUUCUGCAUGUAUGACAAUAUAUACACAUUUAUACAUGUAUGUCAAUGACAUGUUUACAUUAUAAGUUGCACAAUUGCUUGCUGCUAUGAGUUGUAUUGAACAAAACUGGUGGAAAUGAAGCUUUGAAAUAAAGGAAGACUUCACCAUA